rnacentral:rRNA from 1 species
CCCGGAGAAAUUCGGAUUAAUACCGCAUAACAAUGCGAUUUGGCAUCAGAUUGCAUUUAAAACUCCGGUGGUCAAAGAUGGGCAUGCGUGACAUUAGCUGGUUGGUAAGGUAACGGCUUACCAAGGCGACGAUGUCUAGGGGUUCUGAGAGGAUGAUCCCCCACACUGGUACUGAGACACGGACCAGACUCCUACGGGAGGCAGCAGUAAGGAAUAUUGGUCAAUGGGCGCAAGCCUGAACCAGCCAUGCCGCGUGCAGGAAGACGGCCUUAUGGGUUGUAAACUGCUUUUAAUCAGGAAUAAACCCCGGUUCGUGAGCCGGGUUGAAGGUACUGGUUGAAUAAGCACCGGCUAACUCCGUG